rnacentral:rRNA from 1 species
ACGGCUCAGUAACACGUGGAUAACCUGCCCUUGGGUCCGGCAUAACCCCGGGAAACUGGGGAUAAUUCCGGAUAACGCACAUAUGCUGGAAUGCUUUAUGCGUAAAAUGGAUUCGUCUGCCCAAGGAUGGGUCUGCGGCCUAUCAGGUAGUAGUGGGUGUAAUGUACCUACUAGCCAACAACGGGUACGGGUUGUGAGAGCAAGAGCCCGGAGAUGGAUUCUGAGACAUGAAUCCAGGCCCUACGGGGCGCAGCAGGCGCGAAAACUUUACAAUGCGGGAAACCGUGAUAAGGGGACACCGAGUGCCAGCAUCAUAUGCUGGCUGUCCAGGUGUGUAAAAUACACCUGUCAGCAAGGGCCGGGCAAGACCGGUGCCAGCCGCCGCGGUAACACCGGCGGCCCGAGUGGUGAUCGUGAUUAUUGGGUCUAAAGGGUCCGUAGCCGGUUUGGUCAGUCCUCCGGGAAAUCUGACGGCUCAACCGUUAGGCUUUCGGGGGAUACUGCCAGGCUUGGAACCGGGAGAGGUAAGAGGUACUACAGGGGUAGGAGUGAAAUCUUGUAAUCCCUGUGAGACCACCUGUGGCGAAGGCGUCUUACCAGAACGGGUUCGACGGUGAGGGACGAAAGCUGGGGGCACGAACCGGAUUAGAUACCCGGGUAGUCCCAGCCGUAAACGAUGCUCGCUAGGUGUCAGGCAUGGCGCGACCGUGUCUGGUGCCGCAGGGAAGCCGUGAAGCGAGCCACCUGGGAAGUACGGCCGCAAGGCUGAAACUUAAAGGAAUUGGCGGGGGGAGCACAA